UGGCUCAGGAUGAACGCUAGCGGGAGGCCUAAUACAUGCAAGUCGAGCGGUAGAGUGACUUCGGUUGCUUGAGAGCGGCGAACGGGUGAGUAACGCGUACACAAUCUACCUUUAAGAGGGGAAUAGCCCUGGGAAACUGGGAUUAAUGCCCCAUGGCAUCACGAGACGGCAUCGUUUUGUGAUUAAAGCUGAGGUGCUUAGAGAUGAGUGUGCGUCUGAUUAGCUAGUUGGUGCGGUAACGGCGCACCAAGGCGACGAUCAGUAGGGGGCGUGAGAGCGUGGACCCCCACACGGGUACUGAGACACGGACCCGACUCCUACGGGAGGCAGCAGUAAGGAAUAUUGGUCAAUGGAGGAAACUCUGAACCAGCCAUCCCGCGUGCAGGAAGAAUGCCCUAUGGGUUGUAAACUGCUUUUAUCUGGGAAGAAAAGUCGGGAUUUAUCCUGAUCUGACGGUACCAGAGGAAUAAGCACCGGCUAACUCCGUG
rnacentral:rRNA from 1 species